rnacentral:rRNA from 1 species
UACAGAGGUCUCAAGCGUUGUUCGGAUUCAUUGGGCGUAAAGGGUGUGUAGGUGGCGCGCUAAGUCGGGUGUGAAAUUUCGGAGCUUAACUCCGAAACUGCAUUCGAUACUGGCGUGCUUGAGGACUGGAGAGGAGACUGGAAUUCAUGGUGUAGCAGUGAAAUGCGUAGAGAUCAUGAGGAAGACCGGUGGCGAAGGCGGGUCUCUGGACAGUUCCUGACACUGAGACACGAAGGCCAGGGGAGCAAACGGG